rnacentral:rRNA from 1 species
AGGAAUUGGCGGGGGAGCACCACAAGGGGUGAAGCUUGCGGUUUAAUUGGAGUCAACACCGGGAACCUUACCAGGGACGACAGUUGGAUGAAGGUCAGAUUAAAGGUCUUACCGGACUAGCUGAGAGGAGGUGCAUGGCCGUCGCCAGUUCGUGCCGUGAGGUGUUCUCUUAAGUGAGAAAACGAACGAGACCCGUGCCUUUAGUUGCCAUCGUAUUCCUUCGGGAAUGCAGGCACACUAGAGGGACUGCCUCCGCUAAGGGGGAGGAAGGAGCGGGCCACGGCAGGUCAGUAUGCCCCGGAUUCCCUGGGCCACACGCGAGCUGCAAUGGCUGGGACAAUGAGCUCCGACCCCGAAAGGGGAAGGUAAUCCCCAAACCCAGCCUCAGUUGGGAUUGAGGGCUGCAACCCGCCCUCAUGAACAUGGAAUCCCUAGUAACCGCGUGUCAUCAUCGCGCGGUGAAUACGUCCCUGCUCCUUGCACACACCGCCCGUC